ensembl:lncRNA
GUCCUUCAUGACAUCAAGGUUACCUGUUACAGAAAGUUUUAUCAUAGAAAAUUUCUUCAGAAUUUAUCCACUUCCUAAACAUGUUUCUGAAAAUGUCUUUCAACUGGUCUGUCCUCUUCAGGAAUUCCUCAGUCCUGACUUGUGAACAUUCUCCUUUUUUUCUAACCAUUCUGAAUGACUCAAAACAGAAGUCAAGUGAGAUCAUCAACAUCUUCAGCACCUCUGCAAUGCUGCUCCGCUCAGGCCGUAGAAAGCCUUGUCAAAUGCCUCUCCAUAGAAGGCAGACUGUGAAGAAGAAAUUUCUGCUUAGAAAUACAAGAACAGCUCCUGGGAAGACAGUGUUUAGUCUGCGGAAAACAUCGAAAUGUUUUAUACUAACUGAAGAUUCAAAAACAGUGCAUUUUGAUAUAGAUGAGGAUGGUCAUCAUGAAAUAUCUACCAAGGAUUCACAAUCCCAUGAAGAUAUUGCGUGGUUAAGUGUGUUCACAACGAAUGGAGCAGCAGUUACUGAUAAACGUCUUGUGGGAAAAAAAGAUUCUAAAAAUUUGGUGAGCCUUACACAGAGAUCAAAGCUUAAUGAAUUUGUCCUGUUGUGCAAGGGUAAGAAGCAUCUCUCUCUAAAGGUUUUAAAAGCAUCCUGUUCAGAGCCAGAUGGUCCUUCACUGGAGAGAUGUAAUAUGAAAACAUGCAGCCAUGAAGAUCCUGACUUUAAACAGCUGAGUGAAGAUAAUAACUUUUUCAUCAUGCAUUACCAAGGAGAUUCAGUGCAGUUCCAAUGCUAUGAAGAUAGAAGUUACUAUCUGUGUGUGAAUGAUGACUCACUUGAUAUUCGCAAGCUGGAAAACAAAGCGCCCAAUGAGGACAAAAAUUUUUACUUCAGGGUGUCAUAUUUACAGGAAAAGUAACUUGUCUGCCUUUCAGUGGCCUAAGUGUCCAUACAGCUCCUAAGAAGAUGAGGAAGUUUGAGAUCAACUAAUUUCUGUUUGAGCUAAAUUUUUACAUUGUCUUAAUUUCUAAGUCACCAACGUUCUUUAUUUCUGUACAUUCAAUAGCAAAAGAGGAAGGCCCAGUUUGAAAAACUUGAUACUAACUGAUCAGUCUCUGUGUCUUACCUACCAAUUACGUUUUUAAGGAACCAAAAUAUUCUGGUGUGGGAAAAUAUACAGGGGAUAUUUCAAAGAUGGCAACAAUAAAGAACAUAUUUGAAUAUGAUCAUAGAAUGUGCCAUUAGUUCUCCAUGUCAUAAACAUUGUACUUUUUAAAAAACUGUCUCUUAUAAUCUCACCUGAAUGUGACAAGAAAAUUUUCAGAAGUUGCUAAAUGCAUAUGUGCAUAUCCUGAUUGACUAACUUGGAGAAAGAGUCAGAAAAGGUGUCUUGAUUCUGUCUGAGAAUAAGGGACGAUGCUGGAAGCUAGAAGAUGUCUCUGCACCUGUAGCUCCAAGCCAGCCCAUAUAGUCCAUUAUGCAAUUUCAGCAUCUCUCCAGCAUGGCAGCUCUGUAAGAAAAUGUGCACAGAACAUCAGAUGCACAAUGUGCAGGCAGAGGGAGGGAGGCACAUUGAACUGAUGGGCCAAAACAGAUGCCUGAAAACACAGCAGAAAAUUGCUCUGACAUAUUGGCUUUCACUUCUGAGUCAUGGAGGGAAAUAUAAUCACAUGUUCAAUUGCAAAGCAGAGUGCAGAACAACAUCAGAAAAACAAUAAUGUUCAAAAUUACUGAGUAAAAUAAACACUAAGUGUUUAUGUGGGGUACACUGGAGGAGACAUAGGAGUACCUACCUAAGAGCAACAGGGUCUGUCAGUAUCAAAUGGAAGAUGUUGACACUUAAAUGUCCAUAGACCUUGCCCUGCAAACCAUAACCCUGCAAACCCCCUGAAAGUUAUCAGGAUCACUAAGUGUCAAAGAUCUGGUUCUUCAUUCCUGUACAUGGAAUUCCUCUCUGAUUUAGUGGCAGUUUUCUCUGAUGCAAGUAAUUUGAGACUGUAUGUGUAUAAAUGAUAGACAUGGUGCAUCUAUGCCAAGAGACUCUUGCUUAGUUGCAACAAAACAACCUACAAGAUAACACAUUUGCAAGAAUAGUCCUGUGUAAGUAUAAUAAACAAUGCACGCCUGAAAUAGGAAUCCUAACAUCAGUCUGUCGUUCACACCAAUGCGCAUUGCAAUCAGGCAAUUUUCUGAUGUAAACUAAAUUCCAUAGGUGCAUGAGACCUUAAAAGAUUUCACAGCUUGCUUGUUGUAUUCUUCAAAUAGCGAAAAUCUUUAUGUUGGUUAUAAUACUCAUUGAAGAGAACUUUAAAGUAUUUUCUAAAUAAUAUUUACAACACCUGGACCUGCAAAGAGUACAAUAAACUGCCAAGAGUUAGCAUGAAGAAAAAAAACCCAAAAGUCUGGAUAUUAAUUUCAGCAUUUAUUACACUAGAAUCAAGUUAACUUAAACUACUUAAGAUGUUGCACAAGACAUAGAUUCAAUUGUAGUAAGUACAUUAAUCUCACUAUCUGAUACACUAACACUUCAUAGUCAUACAUUUAUUAUGGGUAGGGUAAUCCUCUCACUAAAUUACAGAAUGUGCUAGAGGGCAAGUUGAUGAAAAGAUGACACAUCACCAUAAAGCUUGUACAAAGCAUAUAAGCAUAUUAAUGAAAUCAGUGCUGCUGAUAUCACCACAAAAGUAACAUUUACCUCAGUUAAAUUUGAAUCUAUUUUAUAGUCAAAAUUUAAAUUAUGGUUAUAUGCAGAAUUUUGAACUUUUACCAUGUGCCAUCUUUAAUUUUUUUUAGCAAUUAAAGGGAAAAUAAGCCUUUACGGAAUACAGCAGUGGUAACUUUGUAAAAUUUUGGAUUUAAUAUCUAAGAUAGUAAUAUCAUUUGUCUUCUUUUCUCAUCAAUCACAGUAAAAUCAGCCAACUUUGUAACUCUAAAUGUACAUAGUAAAGCAAGUUAAAAAAUUCUCUAUCCUAAUCUUUAUUGAAGUCUUAUUUUGAUCAUAAAAAUCCCUUCAACUCACAUUUUCCAGUUCCCACUAAUCUAAGUGUCUUGUGAAUGGCAGAUAAGUUUUUAAUGUGUGAGAUGGAAAUCAUAUAGAAAUUUUAUUUUAAAAUAGAAAAUGAAAGCCAUUUCAGAAUGGCUUUCAGAAAAAGUAUAGUUCAGAAAAAUGUAGUUUCAAACACUUUACAAUUAAAUCCAAUGUGUCUAACAUUUGAAUAUGAAAUAUAAUUAGUAUUUUCCUGUUUAAAACAACAAUUAUAUUAUUUAACUUUCAUUUAACAGAUGUGAUAAUUAUUAAACUAAUAAUAUAGAUAUGUUGCUCUUGUAUUUCUGCCCUUCUAAAGCUGUGCCUUAAAUAAAGUGCUGCAUUUUGUUUGCUUAGGCCAAUGUAAUGCAAGUAUUCUUCAUAUAUUACUUGUAGUAUUUUGACCAUAUUUGUGAGUUCCUGCAAUAAACCUGUGAGAAGCACUACAAUAACUAUAAAGCAAGUGAUCUUUCUCUGUGUUACAUUAACUUCCUUCAUUAUAGGGAGCCAAAAGAGCUAGAAAUUUGAACUAGAAAUUGUCAUUUUUCUUGCCUCUAUUUGGCAUUUUCAAGGCUAUGUCUGCAUGUGAUGGCAUGCCACCACUUCCCCCAUUCCCGCUUGAGCAAGGGCCACCCAUGAGGUUUGUAGUGCAUCUGACUGAUGGAUGCAACUGUUCAGGGCCAUAACUCUUGCUCAGCAGCCAAGGGCCAUAAUUCUUGUUCAACAUUCAGUAGACACUAAAUGUCUCUAAAGUCUAAACAAAUUAUUACGAUCUCACAUAGUUAUAAUUACAAUACUGCUAAAACUUGUAAGCAAUCCAAAUUAUGCAAUUUCAGUUGAGGAUCUUAAGUAACACAACAUCUCAAUAGAAGGACUCAUUUAUGCCUUUUCCUUGGUGUUAAAUGUUCACCUUGCACUCACAAUCUGAUGUCAAGGGCUCUUUUUCUUAGAUAGGAUGAUGUGGUCAGGGUGCCAUCACAGUAAAUACAAUACUUGUGUAUCUUGUAGUUCUCAGCUGGUUCAAACAGAAGAACACUCUCCCUUGAGUAUUGCUACUUUUAUAUAUACAUAGUAUUAAUUUUAAAGAUGCAUAUAAUCAGAUAUUAUAUUAUAUU